rnacentral:rRNA from 1 species
GCCUGCCCAGUGACUACAAGUUCAACGGCCGCGGUAUUUUAACCGUGCAAAGGUAGCGCAAUCACUCGUCCUCUAAUUAAGGACCUGUAUGAAUGGUUAGACGAGGGCUUAGCUGUCUCCCCUUUCCAGUCAGUGAAAUUGAUCUAUCCGUGCAGAAGCGGGUAUAAUAAUACAAGACGAGAAGACCCUUUGGAGCUUAAGGUACAGAAAUCAAUCAUGUUAAACAAACCCCAUAAAGUUCUUAAACAUAAUGAAAAAUGAAACUCUACCUUCGGUUGGGGCGACCUCGGAGGAAAAAACAGCCUCCAAGUGGACUGGAUAAUAUCCAAAACCAAGACAAACACCUCUAAGUAACAGAACAUCUGACCAAAAAUGAUCCGGCCAUUAACCGAUCAACGAACCAAGUUACCCAAGGGAUAACAGCGCAAUCCUCUUCCAGAGUUCAUAUCGACGAGGGGGUUUACGACCUCGAUGUUGGAUCAGGACAUCCUAAUGGUGCAGCCGCUAUUAAGGG